GUAAAAUUAAUUAAGGUAAUCUACAGUAUUUGCAUAACCCUACUGACCAACCUGUUCAUAGAUUUCAAGUAAAGGUUAUUUAAAUUUUUUUUACACAGUUUAUCUUUGAGCAUAUUUGCAUUAUGUUUAAUUGAAAAAACAUAACCAUUUAAAAUCCUAUUUUUCAUAUUUUUUAUGCAUAUAAUGCUUAAAAAUUCUAAAUAUGUUUUAUUAGGGGCAAGAAUAUUUUUUUAGUGCAGAGACUCAGUGGUAGAGAACAGGUUGUGCUGGGAGAGUCAGAAACGUCACUGCAACUGACCCAUACAUACAGUAUGAAUGAGGUGAUGUCAGCGUUUAAACAAACUGUGAAGUUAGUGACAAAGGGAAAAUAAAGAAUGGUUUUGCUGUAUGCUGGUGUACAAUUCCCAUCAGUUCCUGUGUUGACUCACAACGUUGGGUAGCUAAAAGAACUCAGCUGUGUAUGUGUCUUGGUGUAAUACAUAAACAACUGUGUUUUUUAUUGAAGACUAAAACUAACAAGGAGUCGGUACCUGUUGUGAUAGUUUUUUUUAUAACUUGGUUUCAUUCCUCUAUGAUUUACUCACUAAAGUCAGGUCACAUGGUGUUACCUCAGAGAAAGUUAUAAAAGAGCAGAACUUACAGGUGGCCACACAUUACUGUAGAUGUGCACUGAAGUGAGGUGUGCAGGGAAACUUUAAAAUAACAUAGAUCUUGAAAGAACAAACCAUUUGGGUUCAAGAACAGACACAAUGUCUUUUGCACAUGCGCUAUCAAGUUUGCUGAUACUAACAGUGGCCAUAGAGCUUGUGACUGUAACAUCUGGUAAUUCAACCAUGACUGAGACAACAAUGGAAGGUCCAACAACAACUGAGGGGUCAACAUCAACUGACUAUUUAACAACAACAACUGAGGGGUCGACGUCAACUGACUAUUUAAUAACUGAGUGGUCAACAUCAACUGACUAUGUAACAACAACAACUGAAGGGUCAACAACAGCUACUGCAGGAACCAUAGUGACUGCUACAGAAACAACAACUGCUGGAACAACAACAGCAACUGCUACAGGAGCAACAACUGCUGACACAACAACUACUACUGGAACCACAACAACAACUGCGACUGGAGCAACAACUGCUGGAACAACAACAGCAACUGCUACAGGAGCAAAAACUGCUGGAACAGCAACUACUACUGGAACCACAACAACAACUGCUACAGGAACAGCAACUGCUGGAACAACAACUGCAGCUGGAACCACAACAACAACUCCUGCAGGAACCAUAGCGACUGCUACAGGAGCAACAACUGCUGGAACAACCACAGCAACUGCUACAGGAGCAACAACUGCUGGAACAACCACAGCAACUGCUACAGGAGCAACAACUGCUGGAACAACCACAGCAACUGCUCCAGGAGCAACAACUGCUGGAACAACCACAGCAACUGCUACAGGAGCAACAACUGCUGGAACAACCACAGCAACUGCUACAGGAGCAACAACUGCAACUGGAACCACAACAACAACUCCUGCAGGAACCAUAGCGACUGCUACAGGAACAACAACUGCUGGAACAACAACAGCAACUUCUACAGGAGCAACAACUGCUGGAACAACAAGUACUACUGGAACCACAACAACAAGUGCUACAGGAACCAUAGCAACUGCUGCAGGAACAACAACUGCUGGAACAACAACAGCAACUGCUGGAACAACAACAGCAACUGCUACAGGAGCAACAACUGCAGGGACAGCAACUACUACUGGAACCACAACAACUGCUACAGGAACAGCAACUGCUACAGGAACAACAACAACUUCAGCAGGAACCACAACAACUCUGACAGAAACAACUGCUGGAAGAACAAUUGCUUCUGGAACCACAACAACUGCUGCAGGAACCACAUCCACUACUGCUGAGCCACUCACUUCCAAUGAUUUCACAUUUAAAACCAAUGAGAACUUCACCCCAGAUUUGAAGAAUUCAUCAUCUCCAGGAUUUAAAGCUCGAUCCAAAAAAGUGAACAGCACAUUUGACCCUUUGCUCAGAAGUAACUUUCCCUCAUUUCGUGAUUUGGAAGUAACUGAAUUCAGAAAUGGAUCCAUAGACAAUUAUGUGAAGGCAUUUUUCCUAACUUCAAACCCUCCCAGUAAUGCUGCGUUUAAAGCUUUUCUGAUUACUGCAGCUAAAAACAUCACAGAGUUUAACAUCACUGCAAUUUUCUUCAAUGGCACUCAAGUGUCAAGUGGAGUAAGCUACGAGACCAGUCUCAUCACUGCAUCCUUCAUGAUGCUGCUAUCAUGGCUGCUAUCAAACCAGCAAUAG
ensembl:lncRNA mucin-22-like